rnacentral:rRNA from 1 species
AGCGAACGCUGGCGGCAGGCCUAACACAUGCAAGUCGAGCGCGUGUCGCAAGACACGAGCGGCAGACGGGAGAGUAACACGUGGGAACGUACCCUUUGGUUCGGAACAACCCAGGGAAACUUGGGCUAAUACCGAAUAAGCCCUUACGGGGAAAGGAUUUAUCGCCGAAGGAUCGGCCCGCGUCUGAUUAGCUAGUUGGUGGGGUAACGGCCCACCAAGGCGACGAUCAGUAGCUGGUCUGAGAGGAUGAUCAGCCUCACUGGGACUGAGACACGGCCCAGACUCCUACGGGAGGCAGCAGUGGGGAAUAUUGGACAAUGGGCGCAAGCCUGAUCCAGCCAUGCCGCGUGGGUGAUGAAGGCCCUA